rnacentral:miRNA from 1 species
UAGAUUUAGAAUUAGAAAAGC